GCUUGGGGGCAGGGUGGGGUCAGGGCUGAGAGCACCCUCCAGCCUUGCGGGGGUCUCAGAAUGACCUCAACUCCUGGCCUGGGGUUCCAGGCUUCCCUCUGACCCCAGGACUUCCGUGCUCACCCUCCCGUGUGGGGUCAGUCUCAUCUCAUCUCCCAGCCUACCUGGGCAGCACGACCCAGGACGGCGGCCUUGGGGACAAGUUCCUCCCGCCCCCAGCUCCCCGCCAGGGAACUGAGCUGCCAGGGAACUGAGCUGCCCGUGAGGCCGCAAAUCAAGUGUUCUCCAUGGCGAGGAGGCGCUCUUGGCUGUUGAGCUUCCCUCAGAAAAUAAUUUUUGGCUGAAGUCUGAAGACUCUGGAUCCCGUUCUCUUCCUCUGAGGACCCUUGGUUCUUGUUUUAGCAGCCAUUCGAUCACUGGACUUGUGGGGCUUGUUUUCAUGCUUUCAUGCUGGUCUGCAGAACACCCUGCAGGUCUUCCAAGCCCCUCAGUGGGGACCUGAAUCCUACAGCCAUGUGACCUUAGAAGAGCCUCAGAAGGACCCCGACAGCCUGACUGAACCCUUUCGAAACCCUGAGCAGAGGCCCCAGAAUUCCAGCAGAGCAACAUGGAUUCCUCCCAGCGCAUCCGAAGGGAAGCUGACUGACAUCAGUCUGCUCAUUUGUGCUGAUGUUAUCCUGCGUCACCCAGGG